GCCGCCUUAGCUCAGUUGGUAGAGCGCCACUUUUGUAAAGUGGAUGUCCCCAGUUCGAAUCUGGGAGGCGGCUCCA
rnacentral:tRNA from 1 species